rnacentral:rRNA from 1 species
UGGGGAAUAUUGGACAAUGGGCGCAAGCCUGAUCCAGCCAUGCCGCGUGUGUGAAGAAGGCCUUAUGGUUGUAAAGCACUUUAAGCGAGGAGGAGGCUACUUUAGUUAAUACCUAGAGAUAGUGGACGUUACUCGCAGAAUAAGCACCUGCUAACUCUGUGCCAGCAGCCGCGGUAAUACAGAGGGUGCAAGCGUUAAUCGGAUUUACUGGGCGUAAAGCGCGCGUAGGCGGCUAAUUAAGUCAAAUGUGAAAUCCCCGAGCUUAACUUGGGAAUUGCAUUCGAUACUGGUUAGCUAGAGUGUGGGAGAGGAUGGUAGAAUUCCAGGUGUAGCGGUGAAAUGCGUAGAGAUCUGGAGGAAUACCGAUGGCGAAGGCAGCCAUCUGGCCUAACACUGACGCUGAGGUGCGAAAGCAUGGGGAGCAAACAGG